UACGGAGGGGGCGAGCGUUAUUCGGAAUUAUUGGGCGUAAAGGGCGCGUAGGCGGCUGAACAAGUCAAAGGUGAAAUCCCUCGGCUCAACUGAGGAACUGCCUUUGAAACUGUUCGGCUUGAGGCCGGGAGGGGGUAGCGGAAUUCCCAGUGUAGCGGUGAAAUGCGUAGAUAUCAGGAGGAACACCGAUAGCGAAGGCAGCACUCUGGUACGUGACUGACGCUGAGACGCGAAAGCGUGGGGAGCAAACAGG
rnacentral:rRNA from 1 species